AGUCGACGGUACAGGAGGAAGCUUGCUUUCUUGCUGACGAGUGGCGGACGGGUGAGUAAUGCUUGGGAAUCUGGCUUAUGGAGGGGGAUAACUACGGGAAACUGUAGCUAAUACCGCGUAAUAUCUUCGGAUUAAAGGGUGGGACUUUCGGGCCACCUGCCAUAAGAUGAGCCCAAGUGGGAUUAGGUAGUUGGUGGGGUAAAGGCCUACCAAGCCGACGAUCUCUAGCUGGUCUGAGAGGAUGACCAGCCACACUGGAACUGAGACACGGUCCAGACUCCUACGGGAGGCAGCAGUGGGGAAUAUUGCACAAUGGGGGGAACCCUGAUGCAGCCAUGCCGCGUGAAUGAAGAAGGCCUUCGGGUUGUAAAGUUCUUUCGGUGAUGAGGAAGGUGUUUGUUUUAAUAGAACAAGCAAUUGACGUUAGUCACAGAAGAAGCACCGGCUAACUCCGUGCCAGCAGCCGCGGUAAUACGGAGGGUGCGAGCGUUAAUCGGAAUGACUGGGCGUAAAGGGCACGCAGGCGGUGACUUAAGUGAGAUGUGAAAGCCCCGAGCUUAACUUGGGAAUUGCAUUUCAUACUGGGUCGCUAGAGUAUUUUAGGGAGGGGUAGAAUUCCACGUGUAGCGGUGAAAUGCGUAGAGAUGUGGAGGAAUACCGAAGGCGAAGGCAGCCCCUUGGGAAUAUACUGACGCUCAUGUGCGAAAGCGUGGGGAGC
rnacentral:rRNA from 1 species